rnacentral:tRNA from 1 species
GGAAAUGUGCCUGAACGUAAAAGGAUCACUUUGAUGAAGUGAAUAUAGAGGUAUACCAGUCCUCUCAUUUCCU